rnacentral:rRNA from 1 species
GACAGGGGGCUCGAGCGUUAAUCGGAAUCACUGGGCUUAAAGGGUGCGUAGGCGGGCCAGUAAGCGUCUUGUGAAAUCCCCCGGCUCGACCGGGGAACUGCGGGGCGAACUGCUGGUCUUGAGGAAGCUAGAGGCCGGUAGAACGAUUGGUGGAGCGGUGGAAUGCGUAGAUAUCAAUCGGAAUGCCGAAAGUGAAGACAGCCGGCUGGGGCUUUCCUGACGCUGAGGCACGAAAGCGUGGGGAGCAAACGGG